rnacentral:rRNA from 1 species
UACGUAGGGUGCAAGCGUUGUCCGGAAUUAUUGGGCGUAAAGAGCGUGUAGGCGGCCAGGUAGGUCUGCUGUGAAAACUCGAGGCUCAACCUCGAGACGUCGGCGGAAACCAUCUGGCUAGAGUCCGGAAGAGGAGAGUGGAAUUCCUGGUGUAGCGGUGAAAUGCGCAGAUAUCAGGAGGAACACCGGUGGCGAAGGCGGGUCUCUGGGCCGAUACUGACGCUGAGGAGCGAAAGCGUGGGGAGCGAACAGG